AUUUCUCUCCAGAGAAAUUUUCUCUAGAUUCUCUGUCUGUGUUUUAACCAAAUUUCUCUGGAUUUCAGAAUUUCUCUGGAGAGAAAUUCUGUGAGCACACCUUGAUGAAGGCGAUGAUGGUAGGAUAAGGUGUGUAGUGUACACGUAUCUGGUCGAGUCAACUCAUUCCAAAUCCAAACGCACUCGCUGCUGCUAGCCAAAAGAGGCCGUGGUCCGUGGAUUUCUUUGGCGGGAGUUUUUCUGGUUCGAUUCUCAAUCUCCUCUGAGCCCAAAUUAGGGCAAAUGUUCUGAUCACGAAGAUACUACUAGUUCUCUCUCUGUCUCUCUCUGUGAUAUUGAGGGCAUAUUAUCAAUACUAGGUCAUGGAGGACACACCCAGAGCUUCAGAACCAUCAAUUCGUUCCUCUAAAAGAACAAGGGCUCAGACUGUUAGGACUGGCGCUGGCGGAGAUAAUAACCCCGAUGAGACCAGCGAUUGGAGUGAUCACGACGACUCUUUCGAUCAAUUUGCCGAGCCUCCUCCCAAGUCUAAGCGUAAGCGGACUUCGGAGGGGGCUUCAGCUGCGGCCGCGCAGAAUUCUGAUCAAAGCUUGAUUGGUUAGUUCACAUUUACUUAGAAUUUUAGUAAAAACUUCUUUUGAUAUAGAGUACUCCAAUGGCUAACCUCAAUAUUAAGUACAAAUUUGAGUAAAAGCUUGGUGAAUUGGUAUUGGAAUUGGAAUGAAGGGAAAUUGUUUCGAAUUUGGAGAGGGAGAAGUUUAGAGUGAGAGAUAGAAAAAAAAAAUGAGGUUUGAUUCAAGAGUAUCAAAUUUCUCUGUGAUAUAUGGGUGUGGAAGUUGAGGGACCUUAGACAUUAUAAAAUAAAAUUAUGGAUCUCUUCUAUUACUAAAUAUGAAAGAGAGACCUUAGACUAAUUUUCCGUUUAUUAAACUGGACACAGAUGGAUAAUAAUAUUGUUACAGGGCUUAGCGGUGAAGAUAAGUCGAAACAUUGUAUUCCUAUACAAGCUAUGUUACAUAAAUCAAGCAUCACAACAGCACUCAGAAUUCAAUGUUUCUUAUUCAUUUCAUCUAU